AACGAACGCUGGCGGCAGGCUUAACACAUGCAAGUCGAGCGCCCCGCAAGGGGAGCGGCAGACGGGUGAGUAACGCGUGGGAAUCUACCCAUCUCUACGGAAUAACGCAUGGAAACGUGUGCUAAUACCGUAUACGUCCUUCGGGAGAAAGAUUUAUCGGGGAUGGAUGAGCCCGCGUUGGAUUAGCUAGUUGGUGGGGUAAAGGCCUACCAAGGCGACGAUCAAUAGCUGGUCUGAGAGGAUGAUCAGCCACACUGGGACUGAGACACGGCCCAGACUCCUACGGGCGGCAGCAGUGGGGAAUAUUGGACAAUGGGCGCAAGCCUGAUCCAGCCAUGCCGCGUGAGUGAUGAAGGCCCUAGGGUUGUAAAGCUCUUUCACCGGUGAAGAUAAUGACGGUAACCGGAGAAGAAGCCCCGGCUAACUUCGUGCCAGCCGCCGCAGUAAAAC
rnacentral:rRNA from 1 species